UUUCAGUCAGAAAUUGACAUUUAAAGAAAUUAAUUUUAAAGCAAAAAUAAUGGAAAGUGAUUUGGAAUUUAAUUUCAGUUUCAGUUAACCGAUUAAGCUUCCAAGUGGUGUUUUACGAUUUUAAAAACCACAAACCACAAUGCCAUUAAAGAAGGUAUUUAAGUGCCAUGAAGCUAUUUAUUUAAUUUAUUUGUUUUCAUAACACUUCUCAUUUUGAUUGUGAUGCUGUCUACGAGUACAUACAAGGACAGUGUAGCUGGACAAAGAGGGGAGAAACUGGGGAGCAGGGUUGGUUAUUUUUAUAUAUAAUAUACAUGCUAACCAAAAAGUAGGGUGAUAAUUAUUAUGCUUUUCGGAUGGAGAAUAUAGAGAAUGAAGCUAUAAGAAUAUUCCCGCGCAAUAUAAUUCCUUUUAGGGGCGUGUGAAAAUUCUUUGAACUUAGGCUGUCCAUUUCAUGAUUAUUUAUUGCUUUAUUACGGACAAAAACAAAAAAAAAAAAUAAAUAAAUUGGAAGAAAUCCGUGCUCGAGAAUAUAUUUCUUUGGUUUUAGUGUCACGAUUCCUAAAGUGGAUUAUG